rnacentral:rRNA from 1 species
UUAAGCGACUAAGCGUACACGGUGGAUGCCCUGGCAGUCAGAGGCGAUGAAGGACGUGCUAAUCUGCGAUAAGCGUCGGUAAGGUGAUAUGAACCGUUAUAACCGGCGAUUUCCGAAUGGGGAAACCCAGUGUGUUUCGACACACUAUCAUUAACUGAAUCCAUAGGUUAAUGAGGCGAACCGGGGGAACUGAAACAUCUAAGUACCCCGAGGAAAAGAAAUCAACCGAGAUUCCCCCAGUAGCGGCGAGCGAACGGGGAGCAGCCCAGAGCCUGAAUCAGUGUGUGUGUUAGUGGAAGCGUCUGGAAAGGCGCGCGAUACAGGGUGACAGCCCCGUACACAAAAAUGCACAUGCUGUGAGCUCGAUGAGUAGGGCGGGACACGUGGUAUCCUGUCUGAAUAUGGGGGGACCAUCCUCCAAGGCUAAAUACUCCUGACUGACCGAUAGUGAACCAGUACCGUGAGGGAAAGGCGAAAAGAACCCCGGCGAGGGGAGUGAAAAAGAACCUGAAACCGUGUACGUACAAGCAGUGGGAGCACGCUUCGGCGUGUGACUGCGUACCUUUUGUAUAAUGGGUCAGCGACUUAUAUUCUGUAGCAAGGUUAACCGAAUAGGGGAGCCGAAGGGAAACCGAGUCUUAACUGGGCGUUAAGUUGCAGGGUAUAGACCCGAAACCCGGUGAUCUAGCCAUGGGCAGGUUGAAGGUUGGGUAACACUAACUGGAGGACCGAACCGACUAAUGUUGAAAAAUUAGCGGAUGACUUGUGGCUGGGGGUGAAAGGCCAAUCAAACCGGGAGAUAGCUGGUUCUCCCCGAAAGCUAUUUAGGUAGCGCCUCGUGAAUUCAUCUCCGGGGGUAGAGCACUGUUUCGGCAAGGGGGUCAUCCCGACUUACCAACCCGAUGCAAACUGCGAAUACCGGAGAAUGUUAUCACGGGAGACACACGGCGGGUGCUAACGUCCGUCGUGAAGAGGGAAACAACCCAGACCGCCAGCUAAGGUCCCAAAGUCAUGGUUAAGUGGGAAACGAUGUGGGAAGGCCCAGACAGCCAGGAUGUUGGCUUAGAAGCAGCCAUCAUUUAAAGAAAGCGUAAUAGCUCACUGGUCGAGUCGGCCUGCGCGGAAGAUGUAACGGGGCUAAACCAUGCACCGAAGCUGCGGCAGCGACACUAUGUGUUGUUGGGUAGGGGAGCGUUCUGUAAGCCUGCGAAGGUGGCCUGUGAGGGUUGCUGGAGGUAUCAGAAGUGCGAAUGCUGACAUAAGUAACGAUAAAGCGGGUGAAAAGCCCGCUCGCCGGAAGACCAAGGGUUCCUGUCCAACGUUAAUCGGGGCAGGGUGAGUCGACCCCUAAGGCGAGGCCGAAAGGCGUAGUCGAUGGGAAACAGGUUAAUAUUCCUGUACUUGGUGUUACUGCGAAGGGGGGACGGAGAAGGCUAUGUUGGCCGGGCGACGGUUGUCCCGGUUUAAGCGUGUAGGCUGGUUUUCCAGGCAAAUCCGGAAAAUCAAGGCUGAGGCGUGAUGACGAGGCACUACGGUGCUGAAGCAACAAAUGCCCUGCUUCCAGGAAAAGCCUCUAAGCAUCAGGUAACAUCAAAUCGUACCCCAAACCGACACAGGUGGUCAGGUAGAGAAUACCAAGGCGCUUGAGAGAACUCGGGUGAAGGAACUAGGCAAAAUGGUGCCGUAACUUCGGGAGAAGGCACGCUGAUAUGUAGGUGAAGCGACUUGCUCGUGGAGCUGAAAUCAGUCGAAGAUACCAGCUGGCUGCAACUGUUUAUUAAAAACACAGCACUGUGCAAACACGAAAGUGGACGUAUACGGUGUGACGCCUGCCCGGUGCCGGAAGGUUAAUUGAUGGGGUUAGCGGUAACGCGAAGCUCUUGAUCGAAGCCCCGGUAAACGGCGGCCGUAACUAUAACGGUCCUAAGGUAGCGAAAUUCCUUGUCGGGUAAGUUCCGACCUGCACGAAUGGCGUAAUGAUGGCCAGGCUGUCUCCACCCGAGACUCAGUGAAAUUGAACUCGCUGUGAAGAUGCAGUGUACCCGCGGCAAGACGGAAAGACCCCGUGAACCUUUACUAUAGCUUGACACUGAACAUUGAGCCUUGAUGUGUAGGAUAGGUGGGAGGCUUUGAAGUGUGGACGCCAGUCUGCAUGGAGCCGACCUUGAAAUACCACCCUUUAAUGUUUGAUGUUCUAACGUUGGCCCCUAAUCGGGGUUGCGGACAGUGUCUGGUGGGUAGUUUGACUGGGGCGGUCUCCUCCUAAAGAGUAACGGAGGAGCACGAAGGUUGGCUAAUCCUGGUCGGACAUCAGGAGGUUAGUGCAAUGGCAUAAGCCAGCUUGACUGCGAGCGUGACGGCGCGAGCAGGUGCGAAAGCAGGUCAUAGUGAUCCGGUGGUUCUGAAUGGAAGGGCCAUCGCUCAACGGAUAAAAGGUACUCCGGGGAUAACAGGCUGAUACCGCCCAAGAGUUCAUAUCGACGGCGGUGUUUGGCACCUCGAUGUCGGCUCAUCACAUCCUGGGGCUGAAGUAGGUCCCAAGGGUAUGGCUGUUCGCCAUUUAAAGUGGUACGCGAGCUGGGUUUAGAACGUCGUGAGACAGUUCGGUCCCUAUCUGCCGUGGGCGCUGGAGAACUGAGGGGGGCUGCUCCUAGUACGAGAGGACCGGAGUGGACGCAUCACUGGUGUUCGGGUUGUCAUGCCAAUGGCACUGCCCGGUAGCUAAAUGCGGAAGAGAUAAGUGCUGAAAGCAUCUAAGCACGAAACUUGCCCCGAGAUGAGUUCUCCCUGACUCCUUGAGAGUCCUGAAGGAACGUUGAAGACGACGACGUUGAUAGGCCGGGUGUGUAAGCGCAGCGAUGCGUUGAGCUAACCGGUACUAAUGAACCGUGAGGCUUAACCUU